CAUAGUGAAUAAAAUGGUGUCCUGUUUUUAACGCAGUUGGAGUAGCAGAAACAAAUGUAGAUAAAAAAAUCUGCAGGAAUAACGUUUCAAUUAUGACAGAAGCUCCAAACAAAUGACUGUGAAUGAAAAGCCCUAUUAAAAGCUUUCCAGAAGAUCCUGCGAAGAAGACAUGAAGUAUAGAUCAGAUUUGUUAAUAGAGGAGUAUGUUCAAAACACUUUUUAGAAAAAGAUAUUGACAGAACUUCACUUUCAUCUGUUCGUUUAAGAGACUGUGCUGUUCCAAUAGCUUAUGUCACACAGGUAUAUGCAUUUUUUUUUCUUGGUUUUAACAUCUUUAAACGCGAAAUACGCAAUAGCUUAUCGAAUUGAUGCCAUGUUA